UGGGGAAUAUUGCACAAUGGGCGCAAGCCUGAUGCAGCCAUGCCGCGUGUGUGAAGAAGGCCUUCGGGUUGUAAAGCACUUUCAGCGAGGAGGAAGGUGGUGAACUUAAUACGUUCAUCAAUUGACGUUACUCGCAGAAGAAGCACCGGCUAACUCCGUGCCAGCAGCCGCGGUAAUACGGAGGGUGCAAGCGUUAAUCGGAAUUACUGGGCGUAAAGCGCACGCAGGCGGUUUGUUAAGUCAGAUGUGAAAUCCCCGGGCUCAACCUGGGAACUGCAUUUGAAACUGGCAAGCUAGAGUCUCGUAGAGGGGGGUAGAAUUCCAGGUGUAGCGGUGAAAUGCGUAGAGAUCUGGAGGAAUACCGGUGGCGAAGGCGGCCCCCCUGGACGAAGACUGACGCUCAGGUGCGAAAGCGUGGGGAGCAAACAGGAUUAGAUACCCCUGGUAGUCCACGCUGUAAACGAUGUCGAUUUUGGAGGUUGUGCCCUUGAGGCGUGGCUUCCGGAGCUAACGCGUUAAAUCGACCGCCUGGGGAGUACGGCCGCAAGGUUAAAACUUAAAGGAAUUGACGGGGUC
rnacentral:rRNA from 1 species